AAACCAACAGGGAUUGCCUCAGUAGCGGCGAGUGAAGCGGCAAAAGCUCCAUUUUGAAAGCUCUUCGGAGCGUUGUAGAUUGGUGGGAAGCUAACGGCUGGUGGGAGACCAAGUCCUCUGGAACGAGGCGCCAUAGAGGGUGAGAGCCCCGUGUGUCUCCUUUACCGACCUUUCAGCCCCCUCCGCGGAGUCGAGUUGUUUGGGAAUGCAGCUCUAAGUGGGUGGUAAAUUCCAUCUAAGGCUAAAUAUUGGCGAGAGACCGAUAGCGAACAAGUACAGUGAUGGAAAGAUGAAAAGCACUUUGAAAAGAGAGUGAAACAGUACGUGAAAUUGUUGAAAGGGAAGGGUAUUUGGCCCGACAUGGGUCCUAUGCACCGUUGCCUCUCGUGGGCGGCGCUCUGCUUGGGCCUGGGCCAGCGUCAGUUUGGAGGGGGCGAGAAGGGUUUUGGGGAGUUGCCUAGCAAUUCCCCUUUGCUAGAUUGCCCCACACCGGACUGAGGACCGCCAUCUGUAGGAUGCUGGCACAACGGCCAAAUACCGCCCGUCUUG
rnacentral:rRNA from 1 species